ACCUCCCACAAAGGCGCACUUGCAUUGGCUGGCUUGCAAGUGCGUAACGACUGGAGGAACAUUAACCUGAAUGGAGAUGUUUGUGUUGCUUGCUGUUUGAGCAGUUGAGAUAUCAACAUUCAUACAAAC
ensembl:snoRNA